rnacentral:rRNA from 1 species
UACAGAGGUCUCAAGCGUUGUUCGGAUUCAUUGGGCGUAAAGGGUGUGUAGGUGGCGCCGUAAGUCGGGUGUGAAAUUUCGGAGGCUUAACUCCGAAACUGCAUUCGAUACUGCGGUGCUUGAGGACUGGAGAGGAGACUGGAAUUCAUGGUGUAGCAGUGAAAUGCGUAGAGAUCAUGAGGAAGACCAGUGGCGAAGGCGGGUCUCUGGACAGUUCCUGACACUGAGACA